AUUGAACGCUGGCGGCAGGCCUAACACAUGCAAGUCGAACGAGUGGCGGACGGGUGAGUAAUGUCUGGGAAACUGCCCGAUGGAGGGGGAUAACUACUGGAAACGGUAGCUAAUACCGCAUACCAUCGGAUGUGCCCAGAUGGGAUUAGCUAGUAGGUGGGGUAACGGCUCCCCUAGGCGACGAUCCCUAGCUGGUCUGAGAGGAUGACCAGCCACCCUGGAACUUAGACACGGUCCAAACUCCUACGGUAGGCAGCAGUGUGGAAUAGUGAACAAUGGGCGCAAGCCUGAUGCAGCCAUGCCGCGUGUAUGAAGAAGGCCUUCGGGUUGUAAAGUACUUUCAGCGAGGAGGCGUUACUAGCAGAAGAAGCACCGGCAAACUCCGUGCCAGCCGCCGCGGUAAUUC
rnacentral:rRNA from 1 species